GUAGCCCAGUGGUAACGCUUCCGCCUCGUAGGCGGUAAAUCCGGGUUCAAUUCCCGGC
rnacentral:tRNA from 1 species